ACUAUACAAAAAAUAAUUGCAACGGCCACCCCGUUUGGCGUCGGCAUCCUUUUGCCAUCGCAAAAAAUUGACAUUUCGCUUCAGCAAAAUCACGCCGUCGUAAAACUUGCGACUGAGUUGCUAUGCCGUGGCAAUGGGGUAGCCAAACUUCAAUAUUUAUCUUCGGAGAGCGUUUGCAGUCGCAAACUUCCAAUACUUGGCGACUGCGUCUAAAAUGUCGUCGCACUAGUUAACAACUAUGAGCCCAAAUCUCUUAUUAAAUAUAUUUUCUCAUCAAAAAACCCUAGCCUAUUUCUCUCAAUCCCUGUUCUCUAUCGCAUCCCUCUUUCUCUCUCUCUCUCUCUCUGUUCUCUAUCUAACUGAACAAAUUGAGCAUCGCAGAACUUGGUGGCCACUGUGCUGAUCUAGAUCCAGGGCUUACUCUUUUUGGGUAUUUCAUUUUGGCUUACUCUUCAGUCGUUCCUCUCCUCUCUCAUUGAAUCUAAUUCUACUCAGAUGCUUCCAAUUCAAUGGCGGGGUCAUUCAUGCGAGUUUCUUUCUGUCCGAGCGAAAUUCAUACAGAAUUUCGAUUCAACUCAGAUGGUCUCUCUUCUCUGUUCUCUGAAAGCUAGCGUCUUGGGAACAGCAAGCUGACACAAGUAACUUCUUUUACAUUGUUGUUUCUGCAAAUAGCUGAAGUUCAGACAAAGCAUAUAUGGUCCUUUUGCUUCUUUGCUGCGGAAUAAUCAACUCAAUUUUAGGUGGUGAGAUUCCUUCUGAGAUCAGAAAGAUGGGCAGCGUAGAAGAGGUUCAGAAAUUUGAUGAGAUCGCAAAACAACCUAUGUCAGAAGGUGAUAAUUCAGCAAAGUCUACUGACCCCAAAUUAUCAUUCAUGACAUAUCAGGGAAUCUCAACUUAUAUAUAUCACAUAAGCAAUUGAAGAAUGAACGAGAAAGCCAUGGAUUGACGAGUAAUUACUAUUUGCUGGCGUUGAACUUUUCUCUCAAAGAAUGAGCUUUUCCUCUGUAAAUAGUCUGAUUCUCAACGUCUAAUCUCUAUUUAUGGCAAUUCAAUACUGCAUCUCAAUUCAAAAGUAUGACUACUUGAUAGUGACGAACUUAUAGAAUUUGUUUGAUCACUAUCUAUCAGAGAUUAGUAGAAAGCUGGAAAAUGCAUACAAAAGUCGGGACAAAGUUGCACUUCAUGAAAGCUCCAACCAAGAUGAAUGAAAAAGUAAUAUGCUUUUCAAGUUUUUUAAUUCUUUUGUUCCAGGUAAAUUUCCCUUUCCAUUUUCUUCUCCUUUUCCAUCAACUUGUGUUUACCAAUUGCACAAUUAUAUUUUCCUUUUCAUGUCAUCGCGAUUAUGAUUUCCACUGGUUUGAUUCAUUUUUUCUUUCGAAGCUAUAAUUUCUGUUCAAGGAGCUCCAAAGAUCUCCUCAGACCCGACUGCAAUCGCACCGAGUAUUUUCUCAGUGCAAUUAUCAAUUACCAUCUUUAUAGAGAAACAAAAGUAAAUCUACUCACCAAACUUAUGAAUCCAUUAACUGAUAUUGAGGAGCGGCACAAAUUGUUGCAGGGCUAGGUUUCCCAGGAGAAGAGAUUUGUAGAUGCAAAAUGAGUUCAACGUAAUGGUGGUUAGAAGUUGGAGCUGCACGAUUUUGUACUAUGGUGCCAGGUAGUAACAUUGCUUUUAUAUUCAUCAGCAUGUAUUUGAGCCCUGGAGAGGCAGUAAUUGUUGCUCAGGAAGUUGUCAAUACAAUGGCUGCGAAGGGAUAUGAUCUGGGACAAGAUGCAUUAAUCAAGGCCGAUCUGGGACAAGAUGUAUUAAUCAAGGCCAAAAGCUUCUGAUGAGUCCUACCAAGUAUUAGCUACUACAGCAGCCAAGGUUUACAGUUACUUCAUAAAACUAUAUUUUUCUCUUUACAAAGGGGAGAGUUAUCAAGGGGACACCUCCAUCGAUAUGAGCAAGCACCAUAUGCCCAGAAUGUAGUUGAGAUCACUACUAGAAAAACACCAUUUAAGGAUACUGAAACUGUGUCUUUAAAUACAUACAAGGACUCUUUAAAAAAGAGUCCUCUAUCCAGCA